AAACUUAGAACCCCUAAAACCAAAGUCGUGUUCUAACCCAAAUGCCCCCAUUCUUCCUCUCUCUCCCUUACGGCACUCUCCCAUCCUUACUCCUCGAUCUGUUGUCUUUUGUUGUUCAUGACACCGCAGCCACUGCCCCCAGCCCCCUUCCUCCUUGGACUAUAACAUCUUUCUCAACCUUACUCUUUGCUCAUUUUUGCUCUGUGCUUUUAUGAGUUAAGGGGCUCUUUGGUGGAAAAUUGUGCCAAUAAUAACAGCAAAUAUUCAAUUGAUGAAGGAAAUGGGAUGGGAGGAUCUAGUCGUAGUGAAUUGUUGGCUUCUAUCAGUGCGUAUUUGUCAGGGAAUAGACUAGAGGGUUCUAUGGAAAUUGUGCUUUGACUAUUCAGAAAUAUUGUUAAGGAGCCAAGUAAUAUAAAGUUUAGGAAUAUUAGAUGGCGAAUGCGAAGAUUUGGGAGGCUGCUAGUGACAUUGCAAGAGGGGUUGAAUUGUUGGAGUGUUGGGUUUGAGUUUAAGGAGAAGGGUGGAGCAAUGUGGGUGCAACACCCCUUACCAAAUCUAUAGAGAAACCGGGCAAAGGAAUGUCAUAUUCUGUGCACGGAGCACCUAAACAUGUAUUUGAACAAUUUUCUUGCUUAAUGUUUACUUUUUAUUUUUAAUAAAUAUCAAAGGAAAAAACUGCAAGAGUUUUCCCUAAA